GGUCUAUAGGUGGACUGGUAAACGGUCUAUAGAUGGACUAGUAAACGGUCUAUAGAUGGACUGGUAAACGGUCUAUAGAUGGACUGGUAAACGGUCUAUAGCCUUUGGAUCUAGAGCUCUUUCUGGGGCAGAACAAAACUAUGCCCAAAUAGAAAAAUAAGUCCUGGCAAUAGAGAUCGGACUAGAGGUUUCACCAGUAUGUCUAUGGUUUCCAGGUCUGAGUUCAAUCCGACCACAAACCACUUGAGGCUAUAAUCACCAAGCCCAUUGAAAAGGCGCCUGCACGUCUUCAAAGGAUGCUGCUGCAAAGACAGAAAUAAUACAUUCAUAUCGUCUACACCCCAGGUAAAGACAUGUUAAUAGCAGACACGCUAUCCAGGCCUGUAGCCUAGACUGCCAGACAUGGUGUGACCUCCGUG
rnacentral:lncRNA from 1 species